GGGGGGUUGUUGGUUCCAGUCAUGCUUCAGUGAUUCCAUAUAUUUAAUAACACAAACAUUUUCCAGGGAAAAAAGAAGGACUGGGCCACCCUGGAUCCGACUAUAAAUGGAUAAAAGAUGUCCCUUUGAAAAGGAAACAUCAUAUGGAAAGGCUUGCAUAAUUUUUUGGUAGACCAAAUUCAAUGUACUUCCUCCGUUGACAACCGC
rnacentral:lncRNA from 1 species